rnacentral:misc_RNA from 1 species
GAAGCUUCAUAGAUGAAAAUCAGCAUAAACAAAUAGGGAGACGAGUCUCAAAACAAAACUAGACAGUUGGACAGAAUUUCAUAAAAAAAGAAAACGUGCAAAACUAAGUGGAAGCUGCUACGGGUCCCGUGACGCCAUCAAGGAUUCUUCCUGUCAUUCGCCGGCACAUUCCUUCCUUUACCCAACCAAACAGAACCGGCGACUGGUGGCGGACGGCGGCAAGGGCGCGAGCUGCUCACGGACUCCCAUGGUGCGUCGAUCGGGCGAUCUAAACAGCGACAGGGACGGCGGAUGAACCGAACGGCGACGUCGUCUGAGGCGUGGCGGAAACGAAUUGACAACACGAAGCGUCGCGACCGGUCGCUGACGUUGCUUCGAUGGACGCUGGUACUGAGAAGUUGAUGGAAACUCGGGCGACGUGAUAGCGAAGGCACAAGUAGGGCGGCGGCUUCAC